rnacentral:ncRNA from 1 species
AAAGUCGCUGUCGGGUAAGGCCUAACCAGCCACCCGUAUCGAGUGUUGCGCCGAAACUGGUAACAGUUAGGUGAAGCGUACACAGAGAACCAUAUAGGCCAUAGGGAGAACCGUAGCUCCCGAAGCAUAUACAGCCCCGUCAAUGGCGGAAAAUGCAGGCGGCGACGUGUUUAACGCCACGGAAGCCAACACAAAGGAAUCGUUAGAGUGAGAUUCCGGAGGGUUUGCCGGGGUCCAAGCACA